GGUAACAGUGCUAACGGUGUCUGGUCUCUGUGUUGAGUUUGUAUGUGAUGUGUGCAUGUACUGUAUGUGGGCUUUUCAAGAAAGAAAAUGGACAGACUUCAUUACAGACGAAUCCUCAGUUGGCCGUGAGGGUCACCAGCUCAGACUACAAAAGCUCCACUUGUUUUCCUGACGAAACUCCAAUGGCGAGGAACGCUUGACCAACUGAGGAGAACAGAUAUAAAGGACGGAUAGCGGAAAGAGAUGAGCUGACACCUGACAAAAGCAGAAGAAAAGAAAGACAAAGACUGAUGGAGGAGUGGGAGCACCGCUUCUCAGACUAUGAUGACAUUCAUCGACCAUCACCACAGAAAGCCAAUGAAGAAUUUCUUUAUUGAACCUCGUCUGUCCUUUUAUUUCUCCUCUGACGCCCAUCCAUCAACUACCGGACAGACAUUUAGCAUAAUGUGAUGGCUUUUUUGUUUUUCUGCCUUCGCUUCGUAAGGACAAAAGUGGGAAAUCAAUACAUAUCCAGUUACCAUAACUCGCUUAUGUCCAUUAUAGACAGCGUGAAGAAUCUUAUCAGGGCUUUUGUGAGGUCACAAACUAUCCCUCAAUGAAGCAGUGACUUGUUGACCUUGCAUUUACCACAAUUAUUUCACUUUUUGAAACGAGUACAUUAAUAUUAUCCAGUUCAAUAGUUUAAUGCACAUAAAGGAACCGUUUAAAUGGGACAUAUCAUAAAAAUCGGACUUUUUCCCUGUUUAAGUGCUAUAACUGUGUCUCCAAUGGUUGUAUCAAGCUAGAAAAUGUGAAAAAGAUCAACCCAGUAACUUAUUUUUGGUAAACCAUUCUCUGCAAGCAUGUGAAAACAUAGAUCAUUGAAAUUUGGCUCCCCUUAUGAUGUCAGAAGGGGAUAAUACCGCCCCUUUAUCUGCACUGCCUUUUAGUGCAGAGAGAGAAAAUCAUUGACAUAAUUGAGUUUCAAUUUCAACAAACCACCAUUAUUGCGAUCAGUGUUGGCAUGUCAUCAGCUCAUUUGCAUUUAAGGGGACACACCCAAAAAAGGCACAUUUUUGCUCACACUUAUUAAGUGUCAAUUUUUACAUGCUAUAUUAAUGAUCUGUAUUUUGAGCUAAAACUUCACAAAUGUAAUUUGGGAAUACCAAAGAUUUAUUUUACAUCUUAAAGUCUUGGGAAAUGGCCCCCUUUCAUUUUGGGCAUCUUACAUGUCCCAUAUUGCAGAAAUGUUUAUUUGAAGGGACUUGCAAUGCAUUUAAGGUGUGCAUUUAGCGAUUUGUACGUUUCCUGAAUCGAACCCAUGACCUUGACUUUGAUCCCCCA